AGAGUUUGAUCCUGGCUCAGAGUGAACGCUGGCGGCAGGCUUAAUACAUGCAAGUCGAACGGCAGCACAGCUUAAGCUUGCUUAAGUGGGUGGCGAGUGGCGGACGGGUGAGGAAUACAUGGGAAUCUGCCCAGUCGUGGGGGAUAACGUAUGGAAACGUACGCUAAUACCGCAUGCGCCCUUAGGGGGAAAGCCGGGGACCGAAAGGCCUGGCGCGAUUGGAUGAGCCCAUGUUCGAUUAGCUAGUUGGCGGGGUAAAGGCCCACCAAGGCGACGAUCGAUAGCUGGUCUGAGAGGAUGAUCAGCCACACUGGAACUGAGACACGGUCCAGACUCCUACGGGAGGCAGCAGUAGGGAAUAUUGGACAAUGGGCGCAAGCCUGAUCCAGCCAUGCCGCGUGAGUGAAGAAGGCCCUCGGGUUGUAAAGCUCUUUUGUCCGGAAAGAAAAGCAUUCGGUUAAUACCCGGGUGUUCUGAGGGUACCGGAAGAAUAAGCACCGGCUAACUCCGUGCCAGCAGCCGCGGUAAUAC
rnacentral:rRNA from 1 species